rnacentral:hammerhead_ribozyme from 1 species
GGCCGAAACGCUCCCGAUCGGGAGCGUCUGCGGAUAGAGUCCGCACUGAUGAGGCCAUCAGCAACCUAGA